rnacentral:rRNA from 1 species
AACGAACGCUGGCGGCGUGCCUAACACAUGCAAGUCGAACGAGACCUUCGGGUCUAGUGGCGCACGGGUGCGUAACGCGUGGGAACCUGCCCUUAGGUUCGGAAUAACUCCCCGAAAGGGGUGCUAAUACCGGAUAAUGUCUUCGGACCAAAGAUUUAUCGCCUUUGGAUGGGCCCGCGUCGGAUUAGCUAGUUGGUAGGGUAAAAGCCUACCAAGGCGACGAUCCAUAGCUGGUCUGAGAGGAUGAUCAGCCACACUGGGACUGAGACACGGCCCAGACUCCUACGGGAGGCAGCAGUGGGGAAUAUUGGACAAUGGGCGAAAGCCUGAUCCAGCAAUGCCGCGUGAGUGAUGAAGGCCUUAGGGUUGUAAAGCUCUUUUACCCGGGAUGAUAAUGACAGUACCGGGAGAAUAAGCUCCGGCUAACUCCGUG